rnacentral:rRNA from 1 species
UACGGAAGGCAGCAGUGGGGAAUAUUGCACAAUGGGCGAAAGCCUGAUGCAGCUAUGCCGCGUGUAUGAAGAAGGCCUUAGGGUUGUAAAGUACUUUCAUCGGGGAGGAAAAACAAAACUAAUAAUUUUAUUUCUUGACGUUACCCGAAAAAGAAGCACCGGCUAACUCCGUGCCAGCAGCCGCGGUAAUACGGAGGGUGCUAGCGUUAAUCAGAAUUACUGGGCGUAAAGAGCACGUAGGUGGUUUUUUUAAGUCAGAUGUGAAAUCCCUGGGCUUAACCUGGAACUGCAUUUUGAAACUGAAAUACUAGAGUAUCGUAGAGGGAGGUAGAAUUCUAGGUGUAGCGGUGAAAUGCGUAGAUAUCUGGAGGAAUACCUGUGGUGAAAGCGGCCUCCUAAACGAAUACUGACACUGAGGUGCGAAAGCGUGGGGAGCAAACAGGGAUUAGAUACC